rnacentral:rRNA from 1 species
CCGAAUACAUUAGCAUGGGAUAAUGGAAUAGGACCCUGUCCUCCUAUUUUCAGUUGGUUUUGGCAGCGCGAGGACUAGGGUAAUGAUUAAUAGGGAUAGUUGGGGGCAUUAAUAUUUAAUUGUCAGAGGUGAAAUUCUUGGAUUUAUGAAAGAUUAACUUCUGCGAAAGCAUCUGCCAAGGAUGUUUUCAUUAAUCAAGAACGAAAGUUAGGGGAUCGAAGACGAUCAGAUACCGUCGUAGUCUUAACCAUAAACGAUGCCGACCAGCGAUUAGGAGACGUUGAAUACAAAACACCACCAUCGGUGCGGUCGUCCUUGGCGUCGGUCUUUCGGGGCCGGCGCGGGGACGGCUUAGCCCGGUGGCACCGGUGAAUGACUCCCUAGCAGC